rnacentral:rRNA from 1 species
GUGGGGAAUAUUGCACAAUGGGCGAAAGCCUGAUGCAGCGACGCCGCGUGAGGGAUGACGGCCUUCGGGUUGUAAACCUCUUUCAGCUCCGAAGAAGCGAAAGUGACGGUAGGAGCAGAAGAAGCACCGGCUAACUACGUGCCAGCAGCCGCGGUAAUACGUAGGGUGCGAGCGUUGUCCGGAAUUAUUGGGCGUAAAGAGCUUGUAGGCGGUUUGUCGCGUCUGCUGUGAAAACCCGAGGCUUAACCUCGGGUCUGCAGUGGGUACGGGCAGACUAGAGUGUGGUAGGGGAGACUGGAAUUCCUGGUGUAGCGGUGAAAUGCGCAGAUAUCAGGAGGAACACCGAUGGCGAAGGCAGGUCUCUGGGCCACUACUGACGCUGAGAAGCGAAAGCAUGGGGAGCGAACAGG